CCCUGCUUUGUUCCUGCUCCUCCUCCGUCCAUCUCCUCUGCUCCUGCUUUUCUUCCAGAUCAGCAGCUGUCUGAGGACUACUUCAUUCUUCCUAAAGAAAUGGAAGACAUUGCUUCUGGUGCAGAAACCAAAGAUAUGAAAUGUGUUUUCCCGUUCACCUAUAAGGGCAUAAAGUUUUUUAGCUGCACAUCCCAUGAUUCCAUAUUCCUUUGGUGUUCUCUCAGUGCAGACUAUACAGGGAGAUGGAAAUACUGUACUAAGACAGACUAUGCUAAAUGUGUCUUUCCCUUUAUCUAUGGAAACAAGUCUUAUCAGGCUUGCAUAAAAACUGGGAGUGUUACUAAAAGGUAUUGGUGCUCACUCUCUCCAAACUUCGAUGAGGAUCGAGCUUGGAAGUAUUGCUAGCAAUAAUAAUAAUAAUAAGGACCAUGCUGUUACUGUCCAGCACAUCCACCCAUGGCCAUGGGUGCAACCCAGACUUUGAAACAUCGGUGAAGAAAAUGAAGAACUCUCAAGCAUGAAGGUGAUGCUCUGAUGACAGAACUGAAAUACAUUCCCUGAAUCGCCACCAUGUUCCCCCUGUGCAUGGUUCCAAUCAAUAAACACUUUCUCUGCA